AUCGAUACAAAACUAAUUUUAUUUUGUUUUUUAUAUAUAUGCCAUCUUUGAUGCAAUAUUUUUUUACUAGGUUAUGAAUUAAACAAAGUUAAAGUCUUAAAAUAUAGAAAGAGUGCGACAACUAUUUCUGGAACUGGCGAAAGCUUUCGAGGGAUUUCCAAGUUGCUCCAGAUUGCACUGUGCUCCAGCUUUUUUGCAAUUGUAUCCUGAAUCAAAGGAUCAGAAUCGCGAAGUUAAACGUAUCAAUGGAUUGUCUGUGUUUGUUAAAGAAAUAGAACCGAAAUUCGAGCACAAAGAAAUUUCACAAAAUAAAACUGAUAAAUCCAGUGAAUACAAAAAUUGGUGCAAAUAUAUUUGGAGUUCCACCAAAAGAAAACGCGUUCGUUCAGGACCUAUCUUCUCCAAGGAAGGAAAUAAAGUUAUAUUUAAUUUUCGACAUUUCGUGAAACCCGAGAAAAUCAUCGACGAAUACACUCGUGUCAACAUUUACAACAAGUAAGAUUCGAUAUUUUAACUGAAAUAUGUAAAAAUUAGAAAAAGAUAAAGAAAGAAAAAUAUUACGAUAAGAUUAAUUCAAGCUUUUCUUUGUAAUGCCGAACAAAAGCGAAUGCAUUAAGCGAAAAAUACGUCUAUGAUGUUAGUACGAGAACAAUGGAAAUUGAAGUUUUGCAAAAAUGAAGUGUUGCACGAAACGGUGAUGGGUUUUUCGAAAAGACUGAUUUAUGGAAUUUCACAGGCCGCGUUUUGUCAAAAUUAACAAGAAAGAAUCACCGAACUCUACGCCGAAUGUUCAUGAGAAACAAGUUUCAUCGGAUGUGAGUCUUCGUUACAAACCAAAAGAAAAGAUACGAACCAAAACCGAUGCUUCCGAAGAAAAGAUAUCUGGAUGGAGGUUAAAUAAAGUUAGAUAUGUUAUAUUGAUUUCAGUAUAAUUGUUCCCAAGAAUAUUUUUCAUUUUCAAUUAUAUUUUUAUACUGAAUAAAUACUGGCACCUGUCAUUGUACUUUAAAUAACUUACUUGGAAUUAUUAAUACGUUGGAAAAUAUUGAUAGCCUGUAGAAACUGUCUCAAAGAAAACAAAAAGAAUCCCGAAGAGGGUUCCAGCAACACAUAAUUUCGUAUACGAGUUCAAUCCAUUUGGAAAUUCCAUAUCAAUUUCUAAUAAUGCAACGACAACAAAAGGAGCACGAAAUCCAUCUAAUAUCGCACAAGGAGAUUUAUCUAUGAAACUUAUAAAUGAUAAGCAAAGUUUCAAUAAUAUUCAGACACACGCAGUGUUACCAAAAUUACAUCCGCGUAGCGAUACUAUACUAGGAAAUUCGGGAAAACACGAAAAUAUAACUAAUUAUGGAAAAAAUGCUAAUUUACCUACUAUAAAAAAACAAGAAACAAAUGUUGAAGAACGAUUGAUUAAAAAUCGUAGUGCAAGACGUAAGAUCUUUACAUAA